UACGGGGGGUGCAAGCGUUGUUCGGAAUUACUGGGCGUAAAGGGCUCGUAGGCGGCCAACUAAGUCAGACGUGAAAUCCCUCGGCUUAACCGGGGAACUGCGUCUGAUACUGGAUGGCUUGAGUUCGGGAGAGGGAUGCGGAAUUCCAGGUGUAGCGGUGAAAUGCGUAGAUAUCUGGAGGAACACCGGUGGCGAAGGCGGCAUCCUGGACCAACACUGACGCUGAGGAGCGAAAGCCAGGGGAGCAAACGGG
rnacentral:rRNA from 1 species